AUUGAACGCUGGCGGAAUGCUUUACACAUGCAAGUCGAGCGGCAGCGCGGGGCAACCUGGCGGCGAGCGGCGAACGGGUGAGUAACACAUCGGAACGUACCCAAUCGUGGGGGAUAACUAUCCGAAAGGAUAGCUAAUACCGCAUAAGUCCUGAGGGAGAAAGCGGGGGAUCGCAAGACCUCGCGCGGAUGGAGCGGCCGAUGUCGGAUUAGCUAGUUGGUGGGGUAAAGCCCACCAAGGCGACGAUCCGUAGCUGGUCUGAGAGGACGACCAGCCACACUGGAACUGAGACACGGUCCAGACUCCUACGGGAGGCAGCAGUGGGGAAUUUUGGACAAUGGGGGCAACCCUGAUCCAGCCAUUCCGCGUGAGUGAAGAAGGCCUUCGG
rnacentral:rRNA from 1 species